CAACAUACACUGUCUCAGUCGGCGAGCAGCCUAUGCCAAAGUACAUCAAGUUUUUUCGAACAGUGAGUGUAUUGUUUCACGGUCGAUAAACUUUUUGCUUAGGUAAAUUGCAUACUCUUUUCGACCAGACCAGUCAUGCUGACCCAAUACGCACCUCAUACACCCCUCGAGGGCUAUCAAGUACCAGAUUAACAAUCAUCCCCCUGGGAAGUAUCGGAAUCAGAGGUUUCUGCAAUUUAUUCUCUCUCUUUCUUUUUUUUCCUCUUUCUCUUUUUUCCAAGUACCCUUUGGCAAUUAUUAUCCUACCUGACCGUUUGAUCACUUUUUCUUCUUUUUUUCGGCUCAGGCAUUUCUCUUUAUUUUAUUUUUUAUUUUAUUUUUUAUUUUUUAUUUUUUUUGCAGGAUCAACCUUGAUUCCUCUGAUUUACUCACAACAAGCCUCGGUAGCUUGAUGAACAGCACUCCAUAAGUGCACUGAUUCGGGCUCAACAGUGUGAGUU
rnacentral:lncRNA from 1 species